rnacentral:lncRNA from 1 species
AAAUUUGGCAGUCAUGAUCAGUUUUACCUAACUUAAUGAAAGAAAUUUUAAUCUUUCAGUUUCGACUCCGUUUGGUCACCGAAAGCUAUUUCGAACAGUAAUCUUAAGCAGAUAGCAAUCAGAUUUUAUUCUCCACCCUCUGGGUGUCAGAAUGGUAUGAAACUUUAAAUCUAGCCUCAUAAAAAUAAUCCUAACAUAUUCAAAAAUUUUCGAAAUUUUCUGACACUGUGCAUUUUCUGCUAAAAUAUCAGCCCCGUUUCUCACAGAAAAUUCUCAAUCUUCUAUUUUCACUCCGAUUUUCGCACGAGUCAAUCCUGACAUAUAAUUUACUUGUCUAAAUCCAAUAAAAAUAGUAUUUCACACUAUUUUUAUUUGUAUUCACUUUUACUAAAAAAAAAUCCGGUAUGCUACAUUCUCCACCUCUUAAAAAGAGUUUCGUCCUUGAAACUUCAAUCACACCUCAACUCGACCUAUCGA